rnacentral:rRNA from 1 species
UACGAAGGGUGCAAGCGUUAAUCGGAAUUACUGGGCGUAAAGCGCGCGUAGGCGGUUUCUUAAGUCUGCUGUGAAAUCCCCGGGCUCAACCUGGGAAUGGCAGUGGAUACUGGGAGGCUAGAGUGUGUCAGAGGAUGGUGGAAUUCCCGGUGUAGCGGUGAAAUGCGUAGAGAUCGGGAGGAACAUCAGUGGCGAAGGCGGCCAUCUGGGACAACACUGACGCUGAGGCACGAAAGCGUGGGGAGCAAACAGG